rnacentral:tRNA from 3 species
UAGCUCAGUUGGUAGAGCAUCUGACUUUUAAUCAGAGGGUCAGAGGUUCGAAUCCUCUAUGGCUCACCA